GAGCAGGCAGGGACCUAAACAGCUGUAAUUUCAAAGGGAAAUCCAGACAUAAUGACAGGAGACACGGGGAACCUCAGCAGGAGACUGACGCCUCUACCACACACCACUCAGACAUGUUAGAAAAGCACCCAUUAAACUUCAAAAUUCACCGGAUGGACCUAACUGCAGACGCGAGACUGCAGAAUAAAGGAUCGACAAACAUGAAGAAAGACCAGUGGAAAAUAUCCCAUCUGAAGAAUAGAGAAAACUAGUGGACAAAACCACACAAAACCACACAGGGCCAAGGCUCUAUGCAGGGUCUCAAGUGGCCUAACACGCCUGUAAUUGGAAUCCCAGGUGAGGAAGAAGAGAGACGGGGAAGGGGGGAGAAUGGACGCCCCCCUCCAGACUUGUGAAAAAAGCAGCUCAACCAACGUAAGAAUAACACAGUCCAACCACUAAAAUGUCAAAGACAGGAAAUUCUCAAAACCAGCAGGAAGAGAGACACGGUUCUCUGAGGAGUGGUGACACGGGUGACAGGUGCCUUCAUUUCACAGCAGAAACACUCGAGGCCAGGAGACAAUUUAACCUCAAAAAUUCUGCAAGGGGGCCAAGUCGACACAGAGUUACACAUCCAUCGAAAAUAUCCUUGCAAAUAGGGGGAGACAGAAGCACUUUCACGGCAGCCCAUCCCACGAGAACCUGCAGCUUUGGACCAAGACUCUCCCGGUGCCAGAGGAAGCGCUUGUGACGGACGGGGCCACAGCAGGUGGAAACCCAGACCAGCGGGAAGGACGAGGCGCCCAGGAAUGGCAGGUUCCUGGUGGUCCAGGACGCAGAGUGGAGCCGGGGAUGCAGGGGGAGGAAGGUGAGAUGACCUACAGUGGAGCAGGAGGGCCCCACGGGUGACGGCGCUGUGCUUGUCCGCUGCCGCAGGGAGAGGCCUGGGACCAGAGCCAUCAGUGCAGGUGAGGCAGAAGGAGAGGGAACGGGGGCCUGCAGAGCCCCCAGCAGAUGUCUGUUCCCCACAGAUGAUGGGGGCAGGGGGGCGGGCUUGUCUGCCCAGAGCCGCCCCCCUCCUCGCUGAUACAGAGUAAAAGGCCCGUUUCUCACAUUUGCAUGGAUAGCAAUGACCACUUAACCUGUCCUCCGUCUGAUGUUCUUUAGAGUAAAAUCAAAUCAAUCUUGAUCGUAUUUGCUUCAGACAAGAAUCCUCGAUGCUGAAAUGAGUGAGUCACGUUCUGAGGGGUAACUGUCACCACAGGCUGCGUGGUAACUCCAGCAGGAACAGGGUGACACUUCCGUGGGGGGGACCCGGCCGACGCCACGCUAAACUCACAGAGGUCUGCGGCCCCCUGCAGUGACGGGGAAGGACGGCCGCUUGCAGGGAAGGACAUGUGGCACUAAUGGGGCAUCCUUGCAGAAAUGCAAAGUCGCGUCUCAUCCUGAGGCAGCCUCAGAGAAACUUGCUUGGAGAGGCAGGCUGAAAAUAGCUGAACUGCCUGCUUUAAAAAUAAUGUGGCGCAGUGGUUCACGAAUUGGACUAGGAACCAUGAGGUGGCGGGUUCGAUCCCUGCCCUUGCUCAGAGGGUUGAGGAUCCGGCAUUGCCGUGAGCUGGGGUGUAGGUUGCAGAUGCAGCUCGGAUCCCGCGUUGCUGUGGCUCUGGCAUAGGCUGGUGUACAGCUCCGAUUCGACCCCUAGCCUGGGAACCUCCAAAUGCCACGGGUGCAUCCCUAGAAAAGAAAAAUGACAAAUAAAUAAAUAAUUUAAUUAAUUAAUUAAAUAAAAAUAACAGUGUUACAAGAGACAAGGAAGCCAGAGGGCUUGCUCCGCGUCAGUGUGGUUAAGGAAGCAGGACCACCUCAAAGGGCGGGUGCGCUAGGCUUUGCCUUGUCGUUAAAAUGUUAUCGAGACAAUGGGACAAGUCUGAACAAACCGUAUAGAUUAGAUGUGGUGCCCUAUCAAUGCUGUUAAUUUCCCAAUCAAUGAUUAUGGGGGAGAAUGCCUUGAUUUUGGAAGAAUACACACUGAAGUGUUUAGAGCUAAAGGGAUAUCAUGUCUGCAACUUCCUCUCAAAUGGUUAAGCAUAAAAAAAUAAGAUAAACUGUAAAUAGAGAAUUUGGAGAAGAGAACAAAGGGUGAUACCCGAGUGAAGGGCAUGCAAGAUUCUAGCCUGAUUUUCUUCCAGUGUUCUGUGAACCUGACAUAGGUCAGAAUAACACGUAGCACUAGAAAACCAGAGGCCACUCACACCAGGUUCCUGCAGGUGGAAUGGGUGGAACUCCCAUGUUAUGCACCUGCUCGGUGGUUGGUCCUUGGAAUCCUCAAGGACUGGUGCCUGGGCCCCUCACUGGCACCAAAUCCACAGACACUAAUACAAUGGGAGCGCUGUCUCAGUUGUUACUGUGCUCGGCAAAUUCAAGUUUGCUUUCGGGGAAGUUCUGGAAUUUCUUUCCAAUACUUUCGAUCCUCGGUUGAUUAAACCAGCAGAUGUGGAACCCGCGGGCCCGGUGGGCCAACUGUAUACAGUACGGCUGGGGAACCAGGCUGAGCUCUGCAGGGCAGCCACGGUUUUUACUCGGCACGGAGUCAGAGUCGGUGGUAAAAGUCGGCCAUUCAAAACCUGGUUGCCGGAGUUCCCGUCAUGGCGCAGUGGUUAACGAAUCCCACUAGGAACCAUGAGGUUGCAGGUUUGGUCCCUGCCCUUGCUCAGUGGGUUAAUGAUCCGGCGUUGCUGUGAGCUGUGGUGUAGGUUGCAGACACGGCUCGGAUCCCACAGUGCUGUGGCUCUGACGUAGGCUGGCAGCUACAGCUCCGAUUCGACCCCUAGCCUGGGAACAUCCCUAUGCCACGGGAGCGGCCCAAGAAAUGGCAAAAAGACAAAACAAAACAAAACAAAAAACCUGGUUACCAAAGCCAAGCAUCUGGCCAUCUAGAAAACUAGGGUUGACGGCAUCCCCCAUAAAGUUUGGGCAGCACCUGCCCCUCGGGACUUGCUGAGAUCCUCCCAAGGCCCCGGGGGCCGUGGAUGCGAUGCAGGAUUGGUGUUUUCGCCCCAGACAGAUGCCUGGGGAGACUCAUAGUCCAGCUCCCAUUUACCUGCCUUUCUUUGCGGGUCUGUUCCACAUUUAUCUGGAAGAAGAAGGGGUGCUGAGUGGAGGAGCAAAGCAAAACUACCCAAUCGCUGCUGCCCCGGCCCCGAGCUUGCACGCCCUCCUUGGCUGAGCGAAAACUCUUCACUGGACCAACCUUUCAGAAAGGAGCAUGGGUGGUUAUUUAGGUGUUUAUAUCUGGAGCCCCUCACGCCCAGCAUCUUCCAUCAGUCAGAAUUCUUACUGAUAAGCACCAGAGCCUGAUGUAGGCAGCAGACGUGUCUCUGAAAGGUACUGACCAUUGCGGAGACCGGGAGAGAAGGGGGAGCUUCAGAACCAGGCGCCACAGCCCAGGAGGCACUGAGACCGGUCCCCAAACCGCGGCUGUGGAUGCGCACACGGGUGUCUAGAAGCCCCGUCUGGCUGCAGCCGCCACGGAGAACCUCUGUCCCCUCUUCUCCCAGCCUGGCCCAGCCUGCGCCCCCGCCAUCGGGCAGGGGAGAGAGCCAUGUCUGGUGGGCAUCCGGCCUGUGUGGGGCGCAGCCGGUUCUGCCUUUUGCCAGAGGAAAUCUCUAAACACACGAAGGCAGUUGGAUACGCAGGCAACAAAGAGACAACGUUUCCACAACAAUAUUCGUUUUAUCCACAAACAGUCUUGCCCCCUGAGCCAUCACGGGAGACACGUUCUCGUCUGGCCUCCGUGGACGUGGCCAGCUCUGCAGGCUGCACUCCAGUGACGUGUCCAGCUCCGUCGCCCCCUGUCCUUCCUGCAUCCCCAGGGCAGCCCCUCCCAAAGGGAUGACGUGGGGUGGGCUUUCAGGGCCCUCGUGGUCACCACGGCUCUGAAGUUCCGCAUCGGGGAGCGCACGGAAACACCUCGCCCCGAUGACGGUGCGUGACCGGCCCACGAAGGCGCAUCUGAGCAGAGCUGCCUCCCCGAGCAGGCGCCGCCAGGACAGCCGCCAGGACAUGGGGUCCGCUCUGCUGGUGAUCAGAUAAUAAUAAAUCCGAGCCAGCUUUAAUUGCUCUCGUUGACCACACUGCAUAUGAUGGAUGUUUUAGAAUUGGGCUCAGGCACAGGAGUCCUGUUUGCAAGAAAAGGGCAGACCCCACCUGGCGUCCGCCAGCGCCCAGGACACGCCAUCCCUCUGGGGCCCCGAGCUUGCUCCUCAGGACCGGCGGGGUCACCUUGAGGCAAAGCAGGACCCGCGUUUCUCAUCGAUGCUCCCGGUGCUUCCCCGCAACGUCGCUGGGGACGCUGUGAGCAUCCCCUUUGUGGCCAGGUACGCGGGCUACACCUGAGCUGGGGUGCAGGCAUGGCCGCGUGGGGUGAGCCCCGCACUGGCCUGGCUGGAAGGGGCAGCGAGCGGCAGGUGUACCGCCAGGGCACAGGUAGGGGGAAAGCCUGCAUUCCAGACCUGAGCAAGCUCGCCUUCAGCACAACGCCUUCAGCAAACAUUGACUCCUUCCAUGUGGGGCAGAGGGUCCGUGGGAAGAGAAGUCAGAAGACUGUGUAUAAAUGUGUUUAAUGAAGGGGGGGGUGGCACAUCUGGGAGUGCAGGUGGCAAAGGCGGGGGGGGGGUUCCGUGUAUAGAAAGCAACCAGCCUCACGCGUGCAGGAUGCCAUCCACGCCUCGUCACCAGAGGAGCAGCCCAAGGCCCAGAACCUUCAGGAGGUUUGCCCCCACGGAUGGGGGCGUCCCCAAGAACCCCGUCCAGGGUCCCCAUCACAAGGGGACCAGAGAACCAGGAAAGAGCAGGGGUGUCCACUAACUGAGUGCUUAGAGCAGAGGGGCAGGUACUGGGGCCGAAUGCUCUGCUGGGAAGCCUGGGCUGAAGGAAGGCGCUGGGCUUUUCCUCAUUUCUAACCUUCAGCAAGUGACCCGUGCCCCCAGGUCUUUGUUCUCCUGUCUCUAACGUGGUCAUGUGGGUCACUUCCCCUGCUCUACGUUCCGGGACACUCCAGGGAGGAGGGACCGUGAUCACUGACUGAGCUGUGCGUCCUCUGCAGGCGGUGCAUGAGGACGGAUGGAUGGACGGGUGGACGGAUGGUGGCUAAGUAGACGAAUGAUGGAUGGAUGGAGGGAUGGUACACAGAUGUAUGGACGGGUGUGGGGAUGGAUAGUGGAUAGGUAGGUGGAUGAUGGGUGGACGGAUGGAUGGUUGAUGGAUGGAUGGUGGAUGGGUGGAUGGUAGAAAGAUGGUAGGUAAAUAGACACAUAGUAGAUGGUAGACACAUAGAUGCAAACAUAGUUGAAAUAGGAGUUCCUGUCGUGGUGCAUCAGAAACGAAUCCGACUAGGAACCAUGAGGUUGCAGGUUCGAUCCCUGGCCUCGCUCGGUGGGUUAAGGAUCUGGCGUUGCCAUGACCUGUGGUGUAGGUCGCAGACACAGCUUGGAUCCCGUGUUGCUGUAGCUGUGGUGUAGGCCGGCAGCAAUAGCUCCGAUUCAACCCCUAGCCUGGGAAUCUCCAUAUGCUGCGGGUGCGGCCCUAAAAAGACAAAAAGACCAAAAAAAAAAAAAAAAAAAA
rnacentral:lncRNA from 1 species